rnacentral:rRNA from 1 species
AUUGAACGCUGGCGGCAUGCUUUACACAUGCAAGUCGGACGGCAGCACAGAGGAGCUUGCUUCUUGGGUGGCGAGUGGCGAACGGGUGAGUAACGCAUCGGAACGUACCGAGUAAUGGGGGAUAACUGUCCGAAAGGACAGCUAAUACCGCAUACGCCCUGAGGGGGAAAGCGGGGGAUCUUAGGACCUCGCGUUAUUCGAGCGGCCGAUGUCUGAUUAGCUGGUUGGCGGGGUAAAGGCCCACCAAGGCGACGAUCAGUAGCGGGUCUGAGAGGAUGAUCCGCCACACUGGGACUGAGACACGGCCCAGACUCCUACGGGAGGCAGCAGUGGGGAAUUUUGGACAAUGGGCGCAAGCCUGAUCCAGCCAUGCCGCGUGUCUGAAGAAGGCCUUCGGGUUGUAAAGGACUUUUGUCAGGGAAGAAAAGGGGCAUGUUAAUACCGUGCUCUGA